rnacentral:hammerhead_ribozyme from 1 species
AUCCUGCAGACGAGUCCCAAAUAGGACAAAACGCACAUUCUGGAU